CCCUCCCUCUUUCUUCAGGCCUAACACAUGCAAGUCGAGCGAGGACUUCGGUUCUAGCGGCGGACGGGUGAGUAACGCGUGGGAAUGUGCCCUUCUCUACGGAAUAGCCCUGGGAAACUGGGAGUAAUACCGUAUACGCCCUAUUGGGGAAAGAUUUAUCGGAGAAGGAUCAGCCCGCGUUGGAUUAGGUAGUUGGUGGGGUAAUGGCCUACCAAGCCGACGAUCCAUAGCUGGUUUGAGAGGAUGAUCAGCCACACUGGGACUGAGACACGGCCCAGACUCCUACGGGAGGCAGCAGUGGGGAAUCUUAGACAAUGGGGGCGACCCUGAUCUAGCCAUGCCGCGUGAGUGAUGAAGGCCUUAGGGUUGUAAAGCUCUUUCAGCUGGGAAGAUAAUGACGGUACCAGCAGAAGAAGCCCCGGCUAACUCCGUG
rnacentral:rRNA from 1 species